GACGAACGCUGGCGGCGUGCUUAACACAUGCAAGUCGAACGGAAAGGCCCUGCUUUUGUGGGGUGCUCGAGUGGCGAACGGGUGAGUAACACGUGAGUAACCUGCCCUUGACUUUGGGAUAACUUCAGGAAACUGGGGCUAAUACCGGAUAGGAGCUCCUGCUGCAUGGUGGGGGUUGGAAAGUUUCGGCGGUUGGGGAUGGACUCGCGGCUUAUCAGCUUGUUGGUGGGGUAGUGGCUUACCAAGGCUUUGACGGGUAGCCGGCCUGAGAGGGUGACCGGCCACAUUGGGACUGAGAUACGGCCCAGACUCCUACGGGACGCAGCAGUGGGGAAUAUUGCACAAUGGGCGGAAGCCUGAUGCAGCAACGCCGCGUGCGGGAUGACGGCCUUCGGGUUGUAAACCGCUUUCGCCUGUGACGAAGCGUGAGUGACGGUAAUGGGUAAAGAAGCACCGGCUAACUACGUG
rnacentral:rRNA from 1 species